CUCGUUUAUUGCGUUUAAUCUGCGGAUGCCCACACAACAGGGCGAUGAUGAGGAUAAUGUGGAGUUCGCGCUGCGUCAGCAGUCGGACGAGGGAAACGUGCGUAUCUACAUGUAUUAUUCCGGCGGUACGAGUGUUAUUAUGGCCAUUGUCCGGCUGGUGAUCUUUAUUGGAUGUAGCGCGCAGGUUCGAAGUAUCAGCAAAACGCUGGAAGCGAUCGGUGAUGGAUAUCCCGACUCGUCGCUUACCGCUGCUAAGUACACGUUUUCAACACGAAAUCGCUACUUCCGAAAAUACAGCCAUUUCGGCGGGAGGAUUCUUCUCCAUUAGCAAAGAGUAUCUUAUAACGGUUACGGGUGCUAUUCUAUCAUACUUCAUUCUGAUCUAUCAGGCGCGUGACCAGAAGAGUGAUAUGGCGGAUCUCGUAAAAGAGCGAACGUUUCGGAAAGAGUUAGAGUUUAUGCUGCAG